GGAAGCACACUGCGGCAAUUCUGGAGAGGUUGUCCUUUUCUGGCGUCAGCGUUGCGGCUCAAGGCAAAGCUGGUCCUGUGCCUGCUGUCCACUGCCGCUAAGGCCUGCUGCUGCCAUUCAGGCGUGUCUCUCUCUCUCUCUCUCUCUCUCUUUCAUGCUGCUCUCUCCACCCCAUCUUGGGACGGCCAGCUCUAAGAAUUCCUGCUACGACACUGAAUUCAACCAGGAGGUGAUGCCACACUCAAUCAGAAACUAUGCUACUGUUGAAGAGGCAUAUUGAGCUCUGCCUGGUUAACCUCCAGUGAGGUUGUUAGAGAAUUGGGAGAGGCUCAAAUCAGCAUCCUGCACCUAGUUAUCAAACAAUUGUGAAGUCUUGAUUCCUGGAUGGCCAGAAAACUUGUCAUUGGUCAAGAGCAACAUUAAGAUCUGCCUGUUACUCAUACAGAUGCUUCUUGCGCAGCAAGUUCAUCAGAGGGCGAGGAUGAAUUACGGUUGCUAUGAAUGUCCUUGUGAGGCAGUUGGGAAGCCUUGGCUGGAUUGUGAAGGAUAUUUGAAAAGUAUUUUAGACUCCACCAGAUCAUCCAUGUGAGUGACCAUGCAGCAAAAGAAGGAGGGUCCUCUCAGUGAUUAAGGAUUAUGAAGUAUUAAUUCUUCCACUGAUAUCUCAAAAGGUGAUCUGGACAAAGGAACAGGUAUCUCAGUAGAGACGGGGUUUCACCGUGUUAGCCAGGAUGGUCUCGAUCUCCUGACCUCAUGAUCCACCCGCCUUGACCUCCCAAAGUGCUGGGAUUACAGGCAUGAGCCACCGCGUCCGGCUGGGAGAGUGUAUUUUCUACACAUAAGUUCAGGUCAUCUCCACACAAGCCCAAUUUGCCUCCCUCUUUUCCAAUCUGAAUGCCUUUAAUUUCCUUCUCUUGCCUAACUGUACUGGCUAGAACAUCCUGAACUAGGUUGAAUGAGGUGCUGAGAGUGGGCAUAAUUUUCUUCUUUACCUCCGAAGAAAAUAUUUCAUGUUUCCUUCAUUGAUUAUGAUGUUAGUUGUGGGUAUUUCAUUUACUGCCUAUAUGGUAUAAAGAUACAUUCCUUCUAUGCCUAAUUGGUUGACAGCUUUUAUUAUAUCAAAUUCUAUAAAACUUUUAUUUUUAAAUCUGUUGAGAUGAUCGAAUGGUGGUGUCCCUCCUCCUUUAUAAGACUAUUUAGAACAUCCUUGCCUCAGAGGGACAAAUCCCAUUUGAACAUGGCGAAUAAUCCUCUUAAUAUAAAGUGGAAUUAGGUUUGACAGAAAUUAGCAGUGAAGCACUAUGGGCAUAUAUUUGAUAGGAGAUUUUUAUUAUGGAUACAAUUUACUUGUUAUUGGUCUCUUCAGAUAUUCUUUCUCAUGACUGGAUUUGCAUACGUUGUAUGAGUACAAGUUUUUUCAUUUAUUCUACGCUGCUCUUUAUUACAUGCUUCCUUCUGUAAAAUUUGGACUGUUUGUUCUUCCCAUUAUAUUAAUAGUUGCUUCAGGUGUAACACAAGGUUAUUUUUUAAUUACUUUUCUGGUAUCACAAAUAUUGGUGUCUUGUGUUUCAUCUUUCAUUUGUCAAAAUAUUUUUUAACUUCCAUUUGGAUUUAAUGAUUCACCCAUUCAUUAUUCAAAAGCAUAUUGUUUAAUUUCUAUGUGUUCGUGAACAUUCUAAUGUUCAUUCUACUAAUAGUUCCUAGGUUCAUGCAAUGUGCUUAAAAAUGUGGUAUAAUUUCUAUAUUAUUAAAACUAGUCUUGAUUCCUAACAUAAGGCCUACACAAAGAUCCAUCUUCUGUAGAGAAGAAUGUAGAUUGUGCCGCUGUUAGACGAAGUAUUCUGUAUAUGUCAGUUUGCUUUAUUUGGCAUGAAGUGUAGUGUAAGCCAGAUGUAGUGUAAGUCAGAUCCAGAUGAUCUGCCCAUUGCUGAAACUUCAGUACUUAAGUCCCCUAUUAUUAUUGUAUGGCAAUCUAUCUGUCCACUCAGAACUUAUUGCAUUUGUUUUAUGUGAUUGGGCACUUCUGUUUUGGGUGUAUAUGUAUUUACAAUUACUAUAACCUCUUGCUGAAUUAACCCAUUUUACCAUUAUGUAAUAAACUUAUUUCCC
rnacentral:lncRNA from 1 species